GCCGCGGUGGUGGAAUUGGCAGACACGCCAGAUUUAGGAUCUGGUGCUCUAAUGGGCGUGAAGGUUCGAGUCCUUUCCGCGGCAC
rnacentral:tRNA from 1 species